rnacentral:rRNA from 1 species
UGGGGAAUCUUGGACAAUGGGCGAAAGCCUGAUCCAGCCAUGCCGCGUGAGUGAAGAAGGCCUUAGGGUUGUAAAGCUCUUUUACCCGGGAAGAUAAUGACGGUACCGGGAGAAUAAGCCCCGGCAAACUUCGUGCCAGCAGCCGCGGUAAUACGAAGGGGGCUAGCGUUGUUCGGAUUUACUGGGCGUAAAGCGCACGUAGGCGGAUUGUUAAGUCGGGGGUGAAAUCCUGGAGCUCAACUCCAGAAUUGCCUUCGAUACUGGCUUUCUAGAGGCUGGAAGAGGUUAGUGGAAUUCCCAGUGUAGAGGUGAAAUUCGUAGAUAUUGGGAAGAACACCAGUGGCGAAGGCGGCUAACUGGUCCAGAUCUGACGCUGAGGUGCGAAAGCGUGGGGAGCAAA